rnacentral:tRNA from 1 species
UCCUGAAUAGCUCAGUUGGUAGAGCGUGUGACUGUUAAUCACAAUGUCGUAGGUUCGAUCCCUACUUCAGGAG